rnacentral:rRNA from 1 species
GACGAACGCUGGCGGCGCGCCUAACACAUGCAAGUCGAACGGAGUCAAGAGGAGCUUGCUUUUCUUGACUUAGUGGCGAACGGGUGAGUAACGCGUGAGUAACCUGCCCUGGAGUGGGGGACAACAGUUGGAAACGACUGCUAAUACCGCAUAAGCCCACGGAUCUGCAUGGAUCUGCGGGAAAAGGAUUUAUUCGCUCUAGGAUGGACUCGCGUCCAAUUAGCUAGUUGGUGAGGUAACGGCCCACCAAGGCGACGAUUGGUAGCCGGACUGAGAGGUUGGACGGCCACAGUGGGACUGAGACACGGCCCAGACUCCUACGGGAGGCAGCAGUGGGUGAUAUUGCACAAUGGGGGAAACCCUGAUGCAGCGACCGCGCGUGGAGGAAGAAGGUUUUCGGAUUGUAAACCCCGGUCGUUAGGGACGAUAAUGACGGUACCUAACAAGAAAGCACCGGCUAACUACGUG